GGACGUAUGGCUUAGUGGUCAGAUCGCUUGGACGGUAAACAGGUGGUGCGGUCAAUUCUCGCGACGUUCA
rnacentral:tRNA from 1 species